rnacentral:lncRNA from 1 species
UCUGGGGAUGUUUCUAGGACUUUGGAGCAAAUUCGGGCUCCCAUUCAAUGUAGCCCCAAGCCAUUCGGUGAAUGCACCAGGGUGGGCAGAGAAAGUGAUGCCGACCUUCUUCUCCAGMACCUGGACCGGAGUGCCUUGGACACCGGGCACAGGCGAAACCUGGCUGAAGGCGAUGGUGAAGCCUCUCCGAAUGCAUUGCAGAUGUCACUGAAGACCUUCCAGAGCAGACUUCCUACAUGUAAAUAGCUCACCCAGCCCAGAUAUUUGAACACUAAGUUGGCACCUACUCAUCAACACAAGAGAUGAUUUCUGCCCAGCCCAUGAGGAGCUGCUGCCUUCAGGAUGCCCUGCAAAGGCCGCUUUGAAUCUUCCCUUUGGCCUCGUCUGUUCUACAGUCUCCUGCUGGUGCAGGUCUCCUGGCUGAGAGGCAUUAGGUCGGGAUCAUGCUAUCAUGCUGAGGGRUUUGAUCAAGGUGGAAAACCUUGUCCCCGCUGUCUAAAGACUACCAUUGCCACUGUCCUUACCAAUGCUGGGGUGCGUGAAACAGGUGACAGCAAUUGCAAUGGGACAAGGCCUGGCYGCACAUCAGCUUCAAGGACACAUCCGAAGCAGCCAGAGCAACGUAUUCCCAGCUAAUGCCUAAGGACUGUGCAAGGAUGAAGUCUCCCUUGAAGGCCUUGAAG